GGAGGCCUUUUCCAACCUUAAUGAUUCUGUGGUUCUGUGAAAGGUGUCUGAUAAUGAGUGAACAGCUUCUGCUGGGCUUGGUCCAGCUCUCUGCUGCCUGGGCAGGUGGGAAUCCCAAUAGCAAGGCCCACAGGGUGUUCCUGCUUCCUGACAGCAGCCCAGGCUUUUACAGAAACAAGGGCAGACCACUUUCUGCGGAAGUUAACGGACAGAGAAUUGAUGAACGAUGUCCCAAAGAUGUUUUGGGUAUUGAAGGAAACGUUUCCCCCAGACCUAGCCUUUUGCAAGCCAAACUGAAAAGAACACUGUACGUGUCAACUUCUCGGCUCGGCCCAAAGUACUGCAGAGAGAUAACCUGCUGUUCCCUUUCAUUUCUCUUCCAACAACCUGUGGAAGUGUAUUGCCUGCUUUGCAUUGAGUAACUGUAUUGUCUGCAGUCAGCUUUACCUGUCUAGGGUUAAAGAGGCAGCUGGUGAAACACCAGGGCAUUCCCUAAGGAGGGUAAUCCUAAACCCAGGUAUGGGAAAACGCCCAAAGAGAUCAGCUCUGCAGCAAUCCUCCCAGUAGGGACAGCAGAGUGAGCCCUGAGUGGGCUGUAAAACCAGUAUGAGAGCUGGUUAAACUGGUCUGAGGGAAAAAAAAGGUGGCUUCAGGUAGGCAGUGUUGGUCAGGAGACCUCCCAGGCAUGCAGCAGGGUGGCAGGGAUGCUGGGUGGCAAAUGUCCCAAAGGGAGCACAGCCAAAAACAGCUCUGGAUUUACUCUGGAGGUGCUGCCAAAGGGGGUGUGAGCUGUGGAGUGCUCCUCCUGACCUGCCCUCUCAAGGGUGCUCAAGUACCGUUGGAUAUUUGCCUCUGUAUUUUUGUCCCCCAUGUUGGGAAAAAAAACCCAAGACAAUCAGCAAAACUCAAAGUGUCUCUCUGAGGAAUUUGAUUCAAGCCAGGAAAUUCAGAGGCAGCUUCCCUGUGAGAUCCAGGUCAGCAGUCUUAGCUUUACAAGCUGACAUCUGCCAUUAGAGCCACUCCCAUGAUUUAACUCUUUGUUGCUGUUAUUAAAAAGCUUUUUUUUUAAUAUAGUUUUGGCAGUUCUUUUUGGUGUUUUCAUUUGGGUUUAAUUUUUAUUUUAUCCCCUGCUUUCUGUAAAUAGCUUCCUGACUGGCAGGUCUCAAGGACUAACUCUAUAAAACCAUUGAAAUGUAGAGAUUCCCCCUGUUUUCAGUGGGAGCAAAAGGGAAUUACUGUUAUUUAGACCUUUCUUUGAGCCUGACUGUCAGUGUCUUUGUGCAUCGUGUUUCCUAUUGCUAAGAGAAAGGAAAGCCUCAGUUCCUUGUCUUCCAGAGGGAUCAAAAGCCUUGUGGAUGAGUGUCUGCAAUGGACUUUUGGGCUUCCAAGGGAAGAACAAAGUAGUAAUAAGCAGUAGUAUUGGCAAUAGCACAACCACAUUCUUCACACGAACUGAAAUGCUGGCUGAUCCUUCAAAAGCCUUGCUGAUGCCAUUACUGACUGUGCUCCAGGGAGGAAAAAUGACACAGCCUCCAAAGCCGGUCACUGACCAUGUCCCAGCCAGCAAAGUACCAGUUCUGAUCCUCUGCAAAGAGGGAUGACACGCUACCUGUAGCAUUAAAGGAAGGAGCAGACAAGUACUGUCUAUAGAUAAAUGAACCUUAAUAUAAGAUUCUACUCUUAUGGGUGCAUAAAUCCUACUUAACAUAAGCCCUGAGUUUGUGACAUUUAUGGUUGCAGCUCCAUUUACCUGUGCAACAGGCAGCUGUAGCCAGGAUGCCCAGUGGCAGCACAGACUUGGAAAUCAUUUAGGAUGCUCUGUAUGGGUCCAUGUAGGGAGACUGAGACUUCUCCCACACAGAGCAACUCAAGGGCCAUAUGUUUGGGGGAAGUGACAGUCACCUCCCAGGCCCUGACUGCUGAUGAUGACUCAUUAGCAAAAUUAUUUCUGCUUCCAUUUCUGAGCCACCACCGCCACCUAAUUUCCACUGGGUCUGUCAGUCCAUUCAGGAGCACAGCAACCCCUGCAAGGAAUUGCCACCCUGGCUUGGGAAUUGCUGUUCCAGAGGUCACUAGAGAACUUUAUUAAUACUCAUUGCAUUAACCUCCCAGCUAGCCAGUGACAGAAAUGCCAUUUCUCCCAUUUUAUAGCUGAGAAAAAUGAAGCGUAGACAGAUCCAUCACCUGGUUACAGAGUCAAUGGGAAUUCUUAAUGCUCCAUAAAUCUGAAAAUUAGGCUGUCAGCAACUUCUCCUGAAGCAAACCUGCAGCAAAGCUAUCCAGGAGCCCCAGUUCCUACCCAUCAGAUGGAAUUUUAUGCCUCAGCCUCGGGCUAACUCCAAGCUGGCACAGAGAUUUUAAGCAAAAAUGGCUUACCCACUUUGAGAAAUGAAGAAUCAGCGAACUGAAAUAUUAACAUUUACUGCUGUGUUUAAAAAGCCCUGAUCUUUUACAGAAAAAAAAAAAAAAACAAAAGGAAAAGGUAUCUGGGAGAAGAGUCAUCUGUACACUGCAAACAGCUACAUCAUUCAGGUCUUCUGAAGAGGAAUUUGACUUGAUUAAGCUAAAAUGAGGUUAAAAUAAUUUGGUGAUUCUUCUGUAAUACUGAAAUACUGUCUCCAAAGUUUCCAGGCCCUACAGAGACCUGAAGAGAAAUGUCCCGCAACUGCUGUUUCAAUAUGUGUGUCCUGAGGCAAAGCUACGGAGGAGCAUGACUUAAUUUCUGACCUACAUCAGUGGAAAUACCUGAUUCACUGCUCAGAACUAUGAAAUUCCAUUUACAGGGGAAAAAAAAAAGAUGCUAUCUUGUUAUUAAACACCACACUACAUGCACGUGCCCAGGGAUAGAGUGAAGGUUCCCUUGUGGCUCGUCCUUUUCCUCUGAGAGCCUUUGACCUCGUAUUAAAAAUGGGCUUUGAUGCCUGAAAUGGAAGGAAAAAAUUCUCCAAGCAAUAUUAGUAUAGAUAAGAUGGAGAGCAGCUCUUUUAAUGAAGGCCUUCAAGGUUGCUUUGCCUACAAUGAUAUCUUCUUGUUCCGGUCCAGGUGCAUAUGUCCUAAAUAAGAUGUAUUUGCUGGAGUCUUUUCCUUGAGAAGAACACUAAACAAGUCUAAAGAAUUUAGAAAAUUCAAUAUGAAGCAUGAGAACAGGUUUGGUGACUGUCAACUGCUAUUCUAAAGUGUGAGAAGCUUUACAGCCAUAUUAAAAAUCCAUAUGUGCUAAAAAUCCUAAGGCAUCAGCUUUCUGGGCAAAUGUUAACUAAACCCUCUGCUUGGUGUACGCAGGGCCAGAGGUGGUUUCUCUCACACACAAGCUUGGCCCAGCCUUGGUUUGUGCAAGCCCAGGUCUAUCCUGGGACAGUGAAGCUCUGCUGAGCUCUCUGGUUCUCACACAGUGCAGCGGUGAGGCUCAGCUGAUCCUUACCUGCUCCCAUGGACACCCCCAAAUCUGGCCAAACCCAGCCCCUGCUGUUGCUCCCACCCUCAGCUAAUACACCAUGUUUAAAUACAACCAUGUUCAAAUU